CCGAGCGCCCGGGCCGGGGUCGCCCCAGAGACAGAGAACAGGGCCCGGGGCCUCUGCGGCCUCAUCGCCGCGAGGGAUGAGUGCAGAAACCCUGUCCAUGAGGAACCACGGCCCGCUCUAGGGCUUUGCAUGGUGACGGGCUUUAGUCUGCAUGAAACAUGCUUGGCUGCGCUUUGGGGCUCUGUGAUGAAUUAACUGCCAGAGGUCAAUACAGAAGGUUCACGUGCCCUUUGGAGUAAAUAUGAAAAGGCACAAGACUUGGCUGCGCUGCUGCAAUCCCAGUGACCUUCACAGGGAUCAGAGGGAACUGAGCCUGAAAGCUCCAAGGGAAAAAGCUGAUCAGUGGCCACAGCACAGACGUGGCCUGGUGCUUCUCCCAUGUCAGAGUGACUCCAAAGUGCUCCCAGGCUCGUCUGCUGCAGAGAGGAACCUCAGUCUGACUGAUACAUUCAAUCCUAAACACCAAAUUUUAAGCUGCUAAAAUCCCAUGAUGCAAGGUUUAAAGUAUCUGAGUGUGGCCAGCAGAGCUAAUCCCCUGCACAUUGUCUCCCUGAUCCCUGGUCCUCCUGCACUGCUCAGAAAAUGUAUUCAAAUACCCAGGAAGAAGCACAUUAACGCAGCUGCAUCCCUCUCCAUCAAACUUUCCAGUCAGCUCAGCAUUUUCUAAAUAAAAACACAGGCUUGGACAGAUUUUCUGCGGCCCCCAAAGGCGAGGGCACACUGGCCCCUUCUGGAGAGCUCGAGGAGCGGCACCGGCAGAGAGCAGAGCAGGCACAGCUUCCUGUGCUGGCUGUCACUUAACUGGCCAGGGGAAACAAAGCCAUGGCCCCAUUUUCCUGAAUUCACUGCAUAACAA